UACGGAGGGUGCAAGCGUUAUCCGGAUUCACUGGGUUUAAAGGGUGCGUAGGUGGGUCUGUAAGUCAGUGGUGAAAUCUCCGGGCUUAACCCGGAAAUUGCCAUUGAUACUAUAGGUCUUGAAUCAUCUGGAGGUAAGCGGAAUAUGUCAUGUAGCGGUGAAAUGCUUAGAUAUGACAUAGAACACCAAUUGCGAAGGCAGCUUACUACGGAUGCAUUGACACUGAGGCACGAAAGCGUGGGGAUCAAACAGG
rnacentral:rRNA from 1 species